rnacentral:rRNA from 1 species
UACGAAGGUGGCAAGCGUUACUCGGAAUUACUAGGCGUAAAGGGCAGGUAGGCGGUUUGGUAAGUCUGUUGUGAAAGCUCCUUGCUUAACGGGGAGAGGCCAACAGAUACUGCCAGGCUUGAGUAUAGGAGAGGGUACUGGAAUUCCCGGUGUAGCGGUGAAAUGCGCAGAGAUCGGGAGGAACACCAAUGGCGAAAGCAGGUACCUGGACUAUUACUGACGCUCAGCUGCGAAAGCUAGGGGAGCAAACAGGAUUAGAAACCCCAGUAGUCC